rnacentral:pre_miRNA from 1 species
CAUAUACUUUCUUCAUUUCGAAUUACUUGUCGCAUGUAUGGAUGUAUCCAGAUGUAUUUUAGUUUUAGAUACAUCCAUUUCUGCGACGAGUAAUUUGAAACGAAGGAAAUAUUUA